AGAAGGUCUUCGAGAUUGUAAAGCACUUUAAGUUGGGAGGAAGGGCAGUAAGUUAAUACCUUGCUGUUUUGACGUUACCGACAGAAUAAGCACCGGCUAACUCUGUGCCAGCAGCCGCGGUAAUAAUC
rnacentral:rRNA from 1 species